UGACCAACAUAUUGAAGAGUAAUUUGGUGGUGGUCGUCUAUUGGCUUGUAUCUCAUCACGACCUAGAUAGUGGCUGUGCUGAUGGGAUGGGAAAACAUUGGACAAUGAGUUGGAGGUUGUUGAGGGAAUGAAGCUAGACAGGGGCUACAUAUCCCCUUAUUUCAUCACCAACCAGAACAAUCAGAAAUGUGAAUUGGAAAAUCCUCUAAUCAUAAUCCAUGAGAAGAAAAUCUCAAGUAUUAAUGCUGUGGUUAAAGUAUUGGAGUUGGUCUUGCAGUUAUGAUUUCAGAUCUAUAGAUAACUUGUUGUUGCUGAUAUUGCUACACGGGAGGAGAAUAGAACAGCUUGAAAAAUGUGCAAGAAGAGAGAGCUAACUCAUACACCGAAGAACAAAUU